rnacentral:rRNA from 1 species
UCGUGUCGUGAGAUGUUCGGGUUAAGUCCCGCAACGAGCGCAACCCUCGACCUUAGUUGCCAGCAUUCAGUUGGGCACUCUAAGGGUGACUGCCGGCUAAAAGUCGGAGGAAGGUGGGGAUGACGUCAAAUCAUCAUGCCCCUUAUGACCUGGGCUACACACGUGCUACAAUGGGCGGUACAAAGGGUCGCGAACCCGCGAGGGGGAGCCAAUCCCAAAAAGCCGCUCUCAGUUCGGAUUGCAGGCUGCAACUCGCCUGCAUGAAGCCGGAAUCGCUAGUAAUCGCGGAUCAGCAUGCCGCGGUGAAUACGUUCCCGGGCCUU